rnacentral:rRNA from 1 species
GACAGAGGGUGCAAACGUUGUUCGGAAUUACUGGGCGUAAAGGGCUCGUAGGCGGCCAACUAAGUCAGACGUGAAAUCCCUCGGCUUAACCGGGGAACUGCGUCUGAUACUGGAUGGCUUGAGUUUGGGAGAGGGAUGCGGAAUUCCAGGUGUAGCGGUGAAAUGCGUAGAUAUCUGGAGGAACACCGAUGGCGAAGGCAGCUCACUGGGACGGUACUGACGCUGAGGCGCGAAAGCGUGGGGAGCAAACAGG